CUUAAGCGAAAGAGAUCUGGCUUGCCUUUCAGAGCCUUAGGUAUAACCAUAGUUUACUUAAGUGGAAAGAAUUUGUAUGGUUGACCCAAUUGAUAAAGAAACCCUGGAAUGCUCCUAAAUCUCUGAGCAACUGGGCUGCAGAGAGCAGGAAUCUUGCGAAAUUGUCGGUCUUAUCUGCUCAAGCUGAUCAACUGAGAACCACCUGGUGCCGAUUCUGACUCUAUCUUGUUUCUUUUGUUAUUGCUGUUGCCUCUCUCUCUCUCUCUCUCUCUCCCCCUCCCUCUCAAAUGCUUCCUCGUGUCAUCUUUUUUUCCAAACAUUCAGUAAUUCUUAUUGCAACAUGCCCAUGACUAGGAAGGCCACCGGCCAGUGCUGGAACAUACCGUCCAAGAUAUGUAAAACACAACCUUGAUCCUAUCGGGCUCUCCGUAAUGCCCAAGUUGACAAGGGAACCACAAGGAUGACUCGUAUUAACAAAACAAUCCCAGGCAGAGGCUGAAGCAGCAAAGUUGUACAACGUUGCGCGUCGAGUGGCAGACUUCUGUUAUCGAAGCUCACCUCAGCCAGGCAUCCACGCUGUGCUUUAUGGUGCCUCCUCGAAAAUUAGGAAGAGGCACCCGCCCUGGAUGGACCCAGCCUUGACUCCCGCCCUUGGCCAGGCGCCUGUGUGCAAGUUACAACCUGCUUAAACCUGUGCUAGUGUCCACAACUGUUGUCCGAAGUGUAACAGAAACAAAUAUGGUAGCAGGAAGCCCAGCACCCACUCACAGACACUUGUCACAACUUGAAUCCUCAGCAGUAUGUGCAAGACAAUGUCUCAGGAAGCCGACAAGAGAGCAGUGCCUAGAGCCACCGGCCCUGCCUCACUAAGACAGAAGGGGUUCCAACUCCACCUGCUGCCCCCAGUGCCUUCCUGGAAGCAGAGGAAGAAAUGGAAAAAAGAACAGGUGUAGGAAGAAAAGGGACAUGCCUUAGAGGGAAAAAGGCGAUGAAAAGUCUCCAAACUGGCUGAUGGUACAUCCGAGAUCCUUCAGGCCUGUGUACUCCUCAUACUGGGAAACAACGCCCAAGAAGCCAAGAGUGGAAACUUUAAAACCAUCUAUCCAGUAUUUAUUCCAUGUUCUUUUCUUUAGAAUUAAAGAUCUACAAAAUAUGAGAAUAAGCUAUAGAGCUUCAAGCGCCAAAUCCUUCUUGUGGCAAAACACAAAACUACAAAAUGAGUGAGUCAGCUCCCAGAGGCACUGGUCCCUGCCUCCGCCAGGACAGAAGCCCUCCUGGGCCACCGCGGUCAAUGGACAUUUCUCUUUCACAAGAACGCUCUUGGUGAAGGUACCUCUCUGGCCAGCACCCUGAUGGAGCGAAAACCUAAAAACAGAAAUCAGAAACUAUUGAACAAAGUGACCCCAAAUUUGUUUAAAGGCAACUAACUUGUGAUGCUCUCUGAUCCAAAAUAACAACUCCUGAAAUAAUUGCUAAUGUGUUUAAUGAGGUUGCAACGUUGGGUGGUCCAAAGUAGAGCCUAUGGAUGAGAAGAGAUGCAAGCAUCACCAUCAACACCAGCCCACAUGUAAGGGGCCCAGACAGCAGGUAAGGCUCUGAAGGAGACACGGAGCUCUAAGAAGCCCAGGUCGGAGGUCUUGCCCAUGAGAAGCUUACAUCUACUGAGUGGUCAAGGCACACACACAGUAAGAAAACGUCAUGCAGAAUCAACGUCCACCGAGUAUUAGAAGAAACAAAUCUUCAUCCACUCUGUUUCGGGAACAAAUUCUUUCGUCUUCCAGUUUGCUUCCUACCCUUUUCUUCAUUUUGCCUGAAUGUUCUGACCUUUGUGCUUAUUUAGCUUUGCUGAAUUACAUGCAUCUUAUUCAGCCACUUUAUUUCUUUUAGAGACAAGGUGGAGGAACUGUCAAAGGAAUAGGAGCAGUGCUGAGCCAGGAUACAAACAGCUCAUCAGUCAGGUUCUGUAAAAUCCCCACUCCGGCUCAGGUCAAGCCCUAACGCUCUCAUCUGCUGCCAGGAAGUCAUCCCUCACCAGCAUCAGAGCCCUCAGCGGCAUCAUAACCACUGGGUAAACAUUAAUCCCGUUGCUUAAAAUUCAGUUCCGAAGAACUACAUUAAGACCGCAACAGAGUUCUUUACACAAAAAAUAAACCAGGCAUCUCAAAACAUUUAAAACCAAACAGACGAUAAUGUUGCAACAUGACGGUUUGGACAUUUUCUGGGUCUAAUUUGCUUCUGAUUCACUGUUCCACGUUUUCUGAAAGGAUGUGUAUUUCUGUGCUGCAUGCGGCCUCCACGCUGUCCACAGCUCAACAGCAAACCAAAGACCUCACUCGCUCCCUCGUCCCCAGCCUACUAAAAUAGCGCCGUCUAAUCAGGUACCUCUCUGCAGGAAACAGGCCUUCCUACGCAGGAAGCACAGGAAAGAGGACUGGAGACAGCAGUCCCGCGGCUUUUCUGCCAAAAAGGACAAAAUGGCUCUUCUGGCAACUCCUGACUCAGGAAAUCACUGAAUUAAGUAGUCAGUCUGCAGAGUAAUUUAGCAUGUCAUCCGCUUCCUGGCAACAGUUAUUUGGAAGCAUUUAUAUUUUAAUUCAACUCUGUCAUCAUUGGGGUUAGAACUUCUUCUCUCAGGGGACCUCAAGAUCAGAGAUUUUCCUGCAGUUUCUACAGAGCCACUGCUUUUAGCUCUUCCUCCCUCUUUCCAGGCCACAGCAGCCUGGCCUCCCCUUUGACUGCCGUCUAGGUCAAGCUAACCCUUGUCUUCAGAGCUAAAUAUAAGUUGCAAGGCGGUGGGGGAGGCUCCUGCAGUGGUGUCCCUGGAAAAUGCACUUGUGAGUGUGCAGAAGAAUGAGGAUGCGACCGCACGCCCAGGAGCUGCAGCAUCGUCCGUGCUCUCUCGGGGACAGGGAACCGGACGAGAGGUCAGUAACGUGGGUUCCCCUUCUGGCCUCGUCAUGGACCUUCUGUGUAAUGCUGCACAAAUAAUUUUCCUCUCUGCUCCUCCACUUCUCCAUUUUUGGAGUGAACUUGACCAGUGCCAUCAUCUUCUUCAUUUGCAGACGUUAGAGACAGGCGAUGCCAUAAACCAUAAAUACCCUGCAUAUCACAAACAGCCCUCCCCAUGCACACAGUAGGAUCAGUUAACACAUGUUGUGGGGAAUAAGAAUCCUGCAUGUGGAUGAGCAGUUUCUUACAGCUGGUGAACACACGAACCCACAAAGUACCUAAAAGGAAAUCACAUAAAAUAUAAGCAGCAGGACCAUGUAAUUCUUACUAUACACAUAUAUUUGUGAUCUUUACCACUUGGGGAGAACGAUGGCUAAAUC
rnacentral:lncRNA from 1 species